CUCAUGAAGCCUACCACAAAAGGCAUUUGUAUAACUAUAUACAAAAAAUAAUAAUCAAAAUCAAAAUUCACUAUGAAUCAGGAAAUCGAGAUUCACAUGCGUCAACGUCACAGCGAUCAAAAAGAACAAAAAGAAGUAAGUAGAAAGACUAAACUUUAAUUUUGUAACUACACCGUAUUUUCACUUGAUAUAUAAAUCUAACUGAAAUUGACAUUCCUAUAUCUCUAUUGCAGAACCGGGUGAUAUUCUCAAGUGCCCUUAUUGCAAUGCUUUAGUUUGGCAUUCAGAAAAAACUGGCACAGAUCCAGUGACUGGGAAUCUAUUGUACACAAUAUGUUGCCAGCAAGGUCGUGUUAAACUAGAACAUUACGAGAUUUGCUGUCCAUUAAAAAAAAGAAGCUAGAGACCAACCUUUUGGAGGCAAGACUGUACUACUAGGUGGCGACUUCAGACAAACACUACCAGUCAUUCUACAAGGUACUCGAGCCGACACGGUCUCAGCAUCAAUUAGACGAUCGUACUUAUGGGACUCUUGCCAAGUCUUUGUUCUUAAACAAAACAUGAGACUUGAAGAAUCACAAGGAAGAUUUGCUUCAUGGGUACUAAGUGUUGGAGAUGGAAGUGCAUCCACAAGUGAAGCAAAAGCUGUAAACGAAGAUGAUGGUCAGAUGGUUAAAAUUGAUCCCGAAUUCCUUAUGCAAUCAACAGGAGAUCAUAUGCAUGAUAUAUUUCAAGCCACAAAUGCAGAGAACAGUCCAUCAAAAAGUACACAUGCAAGCAUUAAAGAAACAGCUAUCCUAACCCCACGAAAUGAUACAGUUAAAAAGAUUAAUGCAUACAUGUUAGCAAAACUGCCAGGAACAUCAAAGGAAUAUUUCAGCUCAGACAGCAUAGGAAAAGCUGACACAAUAUCUACAGAUCACGAGACACUAUAUACAGUUGAGUACUUAAACUCUCUUGAGUUCUCAGGACUACCACAACAUAAGUUGGUUUUGAAAGUUGGAGUCCCAAUAAUGCUGCUACGCAACAUUAAUCAAAAAGAAGGUCUGUGCAAUGGUACAAGAUUAAUUGUAACUCGAUUGGGACAUAGAUUGAUUGAAGGCGAAAUAGUUACAGGCACACAUGCUGGAAAAAGAGUUAUUAUACCACGGAUAAUUUUGUCACCGCCUGAAUCAAAGCAUCCUUUCACACUUCGAAGACGCCAAUUCCCAAUAAGAGUAUGCUAUGCAAUGACAAUUAACAAAAGCCAAGGACAAAGCUUGAAAUCAGUGCUCCUCUAUUUGCCUCAACCAGUUUUCAGUCAUGGCCAAUUGUAUGUUGCGCUUUCGCGUGUAACAACUCCUAAAGGUCUAACUAUCCUAAAACCCGAUGAAGAUGGAGAGAAGACAAUCAAAAAUAUUGUCUACAAAGAAAUCUACAAUGGGCUACCUACAUAGCAGAAAAAUAUACCAUAGUCUUUGUGUAUCCCCAGCAAAAUCAAAGUUCAUAGCAGGUAACGAAGGCUGCUAUGAAUACUCAUGUAAGACAAGGAAAAAAACAAUCAAAAACAGUUUACUUUAAUGCAAUUUAAUAAUCAGUUUUCUUUUCUAUCAAAAUAAGAUAACGAAAUACUUUUUAGUGUUGGUUAAAGCUCCACAAUGGGAAAAACGAGAAUCAUAAACUAAGUUUCUUUUCUAAAAACAAUCACUAUGCCGACAGACUGAUCUAUAAUGUUAUUAAGUCACAUAGAUAGCUGUAGCGCAUUUAAAAAAUAGUAAAGCUACAACAACACAAACAAAAGAAACAUUCACAGAAGGCAGACUCCAGACAAUGUAAAAAAAAAAAAACAAAUAAAAAAAAAAUUCCAAUAGCGAAGACAAAACAAGGGUUCCUAUCAAAAUAAAUUAAUGGCAAAAACUUUAUCAGAUAAUUGACGGGCUUAAUUACGACCGGGAUAAGGGAAUCGAACCUCUCGCUUAAGGUCAGUCGGAG
rnacentral:lncRNA from 1 species